CCUGAAGCUGGCUUGCUUCUCGCGUGCCGCCUGUGAUGGGAGGAAUAGGUCGCAGGUUCCAUCCUGCGUCAUCCUCCCAAACUUCUGAAGCGUCUGGCGCUUGGGGUCACUGCCCCCAAGGAGGCACCUGGAGGGGGGGAUGGCGUCCACUCCGAUGGGGAAUGAGGGGGAGAAGAAGAGCAGCUGGCCGUCUCAAGCUGCACCCACCUUGAGAGGAGGUCCGGUUUCGUUGUCUCGUUCUGAGGAAUACCUGUCCCGGAUCAGUGCAGAACUCACGGAGGAGGCUUUGUGCACUGCUUGUUGCCACUUGAACCCUGUGCCCAUCAAAAAAAAACAGACACAAGACCAAGCGACUCAGAUAUCCAAACGUGGUAACCCCUGCCUCAGGACCAUCGUGUCUAGAGAACCGCAGCCCCCAUCAUGCCUGGUUCCAGUCCCUGACCCCUCCCACCCCUAGCUGAACUCUCCAGGAGUCUGUGCCCAUCUCGCCCAUCUCACAGCCAGCCCUAGGACCUGUGAAGUGCCCGUCUUACCCGCUAACCCAGUACCUACUCCUCACUGCUGGCUGAGAAUCCCCUUACCCCGUCUGCCCUGACCACACUUCUUCCUGGCCACGGGGAUAGUCCUUUCUCUGACUAGGUCCUCUGCUUCCAGCAUUCUUCACCAAGACCUGAGGCGCAGACACCCGAAACCGUACCCGCAGCAAGACACACCUCCUGCCAACUCCUCGUGAAAAGAACAUGCCUCAAAACUCCUCUUUUGCCACUCGUUAAUCACUUCCAUUUGUGGGAACCUCCUGGUCAUGAGCAGCAUCAUCCCGAAGCCUUCAAAGUGUUCUGGAUUCAUCACAUACCCCUCCAACCUCAGCCAGCAAGGACACCACCAGGAAUGAAAGCGCUUUAAUAAAGAGACAGGGAUCGUUCCCUCCCCCA